rnacentral:rRNA from 1 species
UACGUAGGGUGCAAGCGUUAAUCGGAAUUACUGGGCGUAAAGCGUGCGCAGGCGGUUAUGUAAGACAGAUGUGAAAUGCCCGGGCUUAACCUGGGAACUGCAUUUGUGACUGCACAGCUGGAGUGCGGCAGAGGGGGAUGGAAUUCCGCGUGUAGCAGUGAAAUGCGUAGAUAUGCGGAGGAACACCGAUGGCGAAGGCAAUCCCCUGGGCCUGCACUGACGCUCAUGCACGAAAGCGUGGGGAGCAAACAGG